GACGAACGCUGGCGGCGUGCCUAAUACAUGCAAGUAGAACGCUGAAGGAGGAGCUUGCUUCUCUGGAUGAGUUGCGAACGGGUGAGUAACGCGUAGGUAACCUGCCUGGUAGCGGGGGAUAACUAUUGGAAACGAUAGCUAAUACCGCAUAAGAGUAGAUGUUGCAUGACAUUUGCUUAAAAGUUGCAAUUGCAUCACUACCAGAUGGACCUGCGUUGUAUUAGCUAGUUGGUGGGGUAACGGCUUACCAAGGCGACGAUACAUAGCCGACCGGAGAGGGGGAUCGGCCACACUGGGACUGAGACACGGCCCAGACUCCUACAGGAGGCAGCAGUAGGGAAUCUUCGGCAAUGGACGGAAGUCUGACCGAGCAACGCCGCGGGAGUGAAGAAGGUUGUCGGAUCGUAAAGCUCUGUUGUAAGAGAAGAACGAGUGUGAGAGUGGAAAGUUCACACUGUGACGGUAACUGACCAGAAAGGGACGGCUAACUACGUG
rnacentral:rRNA from 1 species